AAGACUCCCGUAGAGUUCGCUGUGAAAGACGAGCUUGAUUUGGCGUUAGAGGAAGCUUCGAUGCGGAACAAGACCGUCAUAAUAGCGGUCGUCAACAGGGCUUACGUCGAGCAAAGCGUUAAUGCGGAGACCACAAUGCUGGACCUUUUCUUGGAGAGCUUUUGGCUGGGGGAAGAUACGAGGCCAUUGCUGGACCACCUGCUCCUGGUUGCGGUGGAUAAGACGGCUUACGAUCGGUGCAUGUUCAAGCGAUUGCACUGUUACAGGUUGGUGACGGAGGGUGUGGAUUUCGGGGAGGAGAAGGUAUUCAUGUCCCGGGAUUUUAUCAAGAUGAUGUGGAGAAGAACUUUUUUCCUUACGGAAGUGUUGAGGCGUGGCUACAGUUUCAUUUUCACGGUAUGCUUCUUUCUUUGACCUUCUCUAAUAGUUCUUUCAUUUUCUUGAAUAAUUCUUCAAUUAUAAAAUAAAAUAUAUUGAAUUAUAAAAUAAAAACUUAAGGCUUAAAAUAUGAUUUAAGUUUCUUGAAUAAUUCAUUUUCACGUAAGUAUUUUAAUCAAAAUAAAAUAUUUAAAUUAAUUAAUUAUAUUAUAAAUAUUAAGUGUUUAAAAAUUAAAGUAGUCAUAGAAAAUUAGGCGAAGAUAUAAAUUCUAAUUAAUAACAAAGAAAAAGAGCCUAUAAUCUUUGAAAGUUAUAAUCCAAUCCUUAAUAUGCCGCCAGACCAAGAAUUUUAUGUUUUAUAGGAAUAAACUGGGAUUUAUUUUCACACUUAUGAUCAUAUUUUCAACAUGCAUUGCUUGGAAAUUUAUGGAAUUCUGGGAAUAUAUGUCCACGGCCAUGGGGUUGUAGUGUAGGUGGUCCAAUCGGGAGAAAUGUUAAAUUAAGGAGAUAUUAAAAAUUUGGUUUUGACUUCUAAUAUGAAAUGAAGUCCAAUACAACGUGAAAGACAGCUACGUCAAGGUAGCAUGUGGCAUUCUAGGAUUGAAUGCCACUGAUGGUACGUGGGGGACGGUCAUUGAGCAAUAGGUGCGCCCCAAAGUUUAGGCAAGCUACUCCCUGAAUCACAUGAAAAGGGAAUAUAGGAUUGAUACGAUGAAAUAAUCAUCUUUUGAAAAUAAAAUAUAAAUUAUUUUACAGAAUUUUAUCUAUUGAAUAGGUCUUAUUUAACUAACCUGUCAUCAUUUGUAAUUUAUUAAUAAUGCACAUUUUAACGAAUAACAAUCAUGUAUGCAUGCUUUAAUAUUUCUACUGCCGACACUAUUUUAAUAGUUUAAAGGGAAUAGUUUAUUUCUGUUUGUUUCAUAUUACAUUUUAGUCAUUUAUAUUUGAAAUGUUAUGUUUUAGUCAUUUACGUAAUUGUUUUGUUACGAAGUGAUCACUCUACCGUUAAACUCCGUUACCAACCUAACGGCAGUCUUAUGUGAUAGUUGAAAUGGGUUUUAAAUGUCAACUUAGAUGUCUAGUUACUGGGAUAAAAAUAUGUUUUUAAUUAAAUAAAUUAAAUUUGGAUUGCCAUGUAAGACAUCCAAGUUGGCAUUUAAAACCUAUUUAGACUGCCACGUAAGAUUACCGUUAGGGAGGUAAUGGAGCUUAACGAUAGAGUGACCACUUCAUGACAAAACGAUAACGUAAGUGACUAAAACUUAACAUUUCAAAUAUAAGUGACUAAAAUGUAAUCUGAGGCAAACAUAAGUGACUAUUUUUGUAGUUUACCCUAGCUUAUAUAUAUAUAUAGCCUUAGUGAUUUUCUCUGCUUCAUAUAAUUUUUUAUUUUUUAUUUAAAAUUUUAAUCCAAUCAUUAACAUUAUAAAUAUUUUUAUUUAUCAACUAUAUGCUAGGUGGUAUAAAGGUAUGGUUGUAUGUUGGUCACUAACCAUGAAAAAUGUAACCCUAUAUCCCAAUCAAUCAAUUAAACCCUGUAAUUAUAUUAGUUGAACCACCCCUAUACUUUUGAUUAAGUUACUUUCUAGCAAGUUGGUUAUAUGCUUUUUCUUUUCUUUAACUUUGAAGUGAAAGUUGAAAGUGACAUCAAAAUCAGGUUAUAUGCUAUUUGUAGAAAGUUAAAUGUUAAUAAAAUUUUCUCAGGACACAGAUGUAGUGUGGCUAAGGAAUCCGUUGACAAAGUUAAGCCUGAAUGAAACCGAUGAUCUCCAGAUUAGUGUUGAUAAAUACUUUGGCAGCCGACGACCCGAGCAUAAUUUGAUCAACACCGGCUUCUAUUACAUCAGAUCGAACAACAAGACCAUCUCUUUGUUCGACAAAUGGUAUUCACUCAAGGACAAUUCCACCAGGAAAAAAGAGCAAGACGUGUUGUUAGACCUACUAAGACAUGGGGUCGUCACCGAAUUGGAUCUUCGAGUAAGGUUCUUGGAGACGAGACAUUUCAGUGGCUUUUGUGAAGACAGUAAAGAUGUUGGUGCUGUAACGACGGUCCAUGCCAAUUGUUGCCGCCACAUAAAUGCAAAGGUUAGGGAUUUGACGGCCGUCCUCCGUGAUUGGAAGAGGUUCAAGGCGGCUCUGACUAAGUAUCCCAAGGCUGCUCGUAAUAUAACUAGGAGUUUUGGGUGGUCACGACACGAUGGAUGCUUGAAUUCAUGGAAACCUCAAACAUUAACUUAAAACAUAUAGUUUUUAUUGAUUUAUUUUUUUCUAAUAAAAAAAAUCAAUUGGAUUUGAUACAUCCAGUUUCAAUGUGUUGUCAAGGCAUAAGAAAUUAGCGGUUGAUUGUUUUUAGAAUCUUAAAUAAACAGUUUUUGUGUGGUUCCAUGUAAUCAAAUCUUAGUUAUUUUGAUACGAAAAUAAAAAUAAAUUUCAUAUUUAGACAUUUAUCAGCUUGAAUAUUUUUAAAUAUCGAAAAAGAUUGUAUGAAAAAGAGAUGCCACAUCAUUCUUUAUCUCUUACCAAUGAUUUAAUGUUAUUUUAACAUCUUUUUCCAUAUAAUUGACACAUCAUUUUGAUAAUUUUUUAAAUCUAGACCUUGAACCUUGGAUAAUAAACCCUAAACCUUGAACCAUAGAUCUUGAACCCUAAAUCAUGGACCUUAGACCAUAAAUCCUAAACCUGAAACCCUAAACACUAGACCUUGGAUAAUGGACCUUGAACUUAAACCUUAAACCUUGGACCAUGAACCCUACCUUAAACCUUAAACUUGAACUUAGACCCUGAAUCUUAGAUUUUAAACCCUAAACUCUAGCCCCCCAAACCUUGAACCUUGGUCUAGGGUCUAGUGUCCAAGGUUUAGGGUCCAUGGUCUAAGGUACAGGGUUUCAAGGUAUAAGAUCUAGGGUCCAGGUAUCAAAAUGAUGUGUCAAUUGAAUAAAAAAAUACAGAAAUAACAUUAAAGAAUUAAUAAGAGAUACAAAUGAUAUGACAUUUUUAUUUCAUAUAAUCCUUUCCAUUUUAAAAAUAUAUAAAAUUAUACCUUCAUAAUAAAUUUUGCUCUUUCACCUCAUUAAAAUUUAUUGACAGAUGACAUCAUUCACUGUUAUAAAUUUAUGGUAUAAAGUCCUUGUGUUUACUUUUCUUUUCCUCUCAUUUUAGCACUUUUAUUUAUCACAUUCCCUUUAAAUUUUAGAUAAAUUAUUUUCUUUUAGAUAAAAAAUUGAUCGAAAUAUUAAAUUUUAAUGACAUUAACGAGAUAACUUACAUGGCAAUCUAUGUAUACUUUAUCAUGGAUAAUUUUUCUAAAAUUUUAUGAACAUUUUUAAAAUUUAUUCAAUUUUAAAAUAUUAUUAUUUUAUUUAAAUUUUUAUGAAUUAUAUGUGGAGUGUCACAAGUAGCCAUGUCAGUGCAGUUAAAAUUUUAAUAUUUUACUCAAUUUUUCGUCUAAAAGAAAGCAAUUUGACUAAAGUUUGAAGGUUAAGGGCCAAAAUAAUCUAAAAAAAAAUAUGAGGGCCAAAGUGGCAAAAUAAGUAAACACUGGGGAGUAAAUUAAUCAUCACACCUUAAUUUAUAUACAAAGAAUGCAUUAUUUUUAAAGUUAUAAAUAUAAUUCGCUAUUACCAACGAAAUUGAUAAUAUAAAUUAUUAUUCUUUUCAACUCAAUAGAUCCAUUUAUUGAUUGAAUUCUUCCUUUUAAAUCUAUUUUAACAAAAUUGAUAUGAUACAUGAAGCAGGGUUUAGAAAAUUUUUCAUGUGAUAAUUGAAUUAUAGAUGUUUAAGGAGUUAAGUUAAAAUUAUACUAUUAUAUUAAAUUAUAUACAAUUUUUAAAGGGAUCAAAUCUUAAUUUUACCAAUAAUUAGUACAAAGUACAAUUACAUUGAAAUCAAAUUAUAUUUACUUAAUUCCAUAAUAAAUGUGUAAGAAAACUCAUAUGGUUUGUAAUGCCUUAUUGGCUUUUUUUCAUUUUUAACAACUAUAACUAAUUCAUUAAAGAACAUUGAAAUUAUCUCUGUAUCAAUGAUUAAACUCAGGAAUCAAACUAAAAUUUUACUUUUGGUUAGAGCUUCAUCUCAUUGAUUUUGCUUUCGAUUUUAGUAUUACUGUUAACAAAUUAACAACUCAAAUGACCACAACAAAUUAUCUUAAGAAUCAUUAAAUUUUAUACCUAUAAAAAAGCAGCCUGAUGUAAAUAAUAGUUCCAAUGGAAUCUUCUCUACUACCGGGGAUUGGUCGUUUAUCCACGAGCCAAGCCAUUACUUUCUAUUCAUUAUUUGUACUAGUACAUUCAAUAAUAUAAUAUUUUAAUGUUUUUUGGUGAAUUACAGUAACAGGGCAAAAUCCAAACAACAAACGUGACUCAAACUCAAGUCACACCUGAAGUGAUGAACACCUUUGACCAUUAGGACUAAGUAUUAAUUGAAUCGUUUGGUUCGCUGUAUUGGAUUAGAGGUGUAUUGGAAAGAGAGAACAGCAACGGAGUGGCGAUAGCCAUUGAAGUUGUUGGAGGAGAAACAAAAGUGAAGAUGGAGUGGGAAGGGAGGCGAACUCUCCUUAGCAAACUAACGGCAGCUUUACGUAGAUACAUCUUCUGCUUUUGCAGUACGGCGGUUUUCUACCCUCAAUAUUUUUUAUGAUUCUGAAAUAAAAGAACACAAAAGAAACUGAAAUAAAAAUGACCCAAUUAUUUUUUAUGAUUCUCAAGAGCAAAAACAACCUCAAUAGGCAUAAUUAAAUCCAAAUUAAAAUAACAUCUAUGGAAUUCAAUACAACAGAAAUUAAAGGAGAAACAAAAAGAACUUGGAACCUUGAAGAAGGUGCUGGGUAGGAGAAAACUGGAGAAAGCAAAGGAAGAUGUCGACUGGAGAAAGCAAAGCAAAGGAAGAAAGCAAAGGAGAAAGCAAAGCAAAGAAAAGAAAAGAAAAGAAACGGAGGGAGCAAAUCGGGCGAAACAGAAGAGGCAAAGGGGAACAGAAGAGGCAGAGGGUAAAACAGGGAGGGUAAAGUGAAGCAGUACCUAAACUGAGCAAAAGGGACGGAUUAGAAAUCGGUGAAUUUCACCGAUUAGGUCAGUAAUGGUUUAGCCCCGUAAUAGUAAUACAUUGAACCAAACAACGGAUUAAAAGCGUAAUAAGUGGGGCCCACCGAUUAGGGGUGUAUUGGCAUAGCCAAUACACCCAACCAAACAUGCUAAUUAUUUUUAUGAUUACAUUUUAAAAUAAAACAUAAUCAUUUAAUCAUAAAAGUCAUGGGCUUCGCCUAUUGGAGAAGUGAAAGGCGUCCUUUAGCUCUUUUAAGAAACAAAAAUUCACGAGAUGACCACCCAAAUCCAACAUCACCCUUUGUUUCAAACUUGGUUGGUAUCUCUCCACUAAUGCUAUGAAACCCUAAAUUAAGAACUCUCAAGGUCUUUAACCCACCAACACUAACAGGCAAUGACCCAUCUCUACAUCAACUACUUCCAAAUUCCACCACCAAAUCUAUGAAAAGGAAGUCAUAAAAUUCUAACACUUCCUAUACAAACUCCCACUACUUUCCCCACUAUUCCUUUUAGUACCAAAUUCAUAGAAUGAAAAUACACUGUAAUUAGAGCAAGAAGACGAGAGAAAAGCAUUUGUAUUGUCGACAUUACCCUCUCUUUUUUCUUUUCUUCUUCUCCUUUUCCAAACCUAGUUAAGAGAUCCUUUCAAAGGCUACUCUAAAACACUAUAUAUAAAGCUUUCUUUUAAGUUUAUGCUGCAAGAAUUCGAUGAUGAAAAUAUGGGCUUCCCUUCUGGUUUCGUUGUGUGUGUUCUUUUAAUACCCUAACCCUAAUCUUUUGACAUGCUUAUGGAGAGAGAAAACAUGGCAGCAAAUAAAAGUUGUAAAGAAAUAGUUAAUUAAGUAGGGUAAUUGCUAUAACUUGGUGCCAACUUUCAUUUAUACCUUAUUAAUUUCAUCUUUAGUUUAAAAAAGAGAGAGACAUACUUUUGUUGAUCAGAAUUAGAGUCUCGAAAAUUCAAUGAAAUAAUAUUUUUAAAUUUUAUCGUUAAAUCAACAAUUUAAUUAUUUGCAGCAAAAAAUUAAUUAAAUUAUCAGUUAAACAAUUUAUAUGCAAUAAAUUAAUAAAUUAAAAAUUAAAUGUAAUAUUCACAGUAAAAUUGAAAAGAAAAGAAAAAGUAAAACUACUCUUCCUAUUCGUUUACCACAGCACGGCAACAUCAUGCGGUUAGCACACCAAACCCACGCCAAAAACCAAGUUUAAUUCACAUAAACAUAACAGAGAAUAGUAGAUUAUAUUCAUAUACAAGUUAUACCCCAAAACCAAUUAAACUGCCAUCCUCAGCUAUUUCGUGUGACAAUGCUACCUAUAUUAUGAAUUUAACCUACCUCACCUCCUUUCAUUUCAUUAUAACUCCCCUCUCUCUUUCUCUCUCUUAGAACCAUCGUUCAAUGGAACACCCAAAGGACUUAUGUCCAGGAACUUCUGCCAUAGUUUUUCUCCUUCUUACUGGCCUUCUCUACUUAUGUGUAUGGUCUCCUUCAAACCCUUUACUUCCCUUCCAUGAACCCAAUGGUUCACCCAAAAAUUAUGUAAGUAUAUUUUUAUGUAAACUUCUUCUCAUGUAUAUUUAUAUGCGUGUGUGUGCAGACUAUAAUAUCAGUUCUUGGUUCUUUUUUUUUUUGAAGACUGGCGUAGAGUUCCUUGUGAAAGAUGAGCUUGAUUUGGCGUUGGAGGAAGCUUCGAUGCCGAACAAGACCGUCAUAAUCGCGGUUGUAAAUAGGGCUUACGUUGAGCAAAGCGUUAAUGCGGAGACCACAAUGCUGGACCUUUUCUUGGAGAGCUUUUGGGUGGGGGAAGAUACGAGGGCAUUGCUGGAGCACUUGCUUCUGGUUACGGUGGAUCAGACGGCUUACGAUCGGUGCAUGUUCAAGCGGUUGCACUGUUACAGGUUGGUGACGGAGGGUGUGGAUUUCGG
rnacentral:lncRNA from 1 species